UACGAGGGGGGCAAGCGUUGUUCGGAAUUAUUGGGCGUAAAGGGCGCGUAGGCGGUUCGUACAGUCAGACGUGAAAUUCCCGGGCUCAACCUGGGGGCUGCGUUUGAUACGUGCGGGCUUGAGUUCGGAAGAGGGUCGUGGAAUUCCCAGUGUAGAGGUGAAAUUCGUAGAUAUUCGCAAGAACACCAGUGGCGAAGGCGGCUCACUGGCCCGGUACUGACGCUGAGGCACGAAAGCGUGGGGAGCAAACAGG
rnacentral:rRNA from 1 species